rnacentral:rRNA from 1 species
UACGAAGGGGGCUAGCGUUGCUCGGAAUCACUGGGCGUAAAGCGCACGUAGGCGGCUUUCUAAGUCAGGGGUGAAAUCCUGGAGCUCAACUCCAGAACUGCCUUUGAUACUGGAGAGCUUGAGUCCGGAAGAGGUGAGUGGAACUCCGAGUGUAGAGGUGAAAUUCGUAGAUAUUCGGAAGAACCCCAGGGGCGAGGGCGGGUCUCUGGGCAGUAACUGACGCUGAGGAGCGAAGGCGUGGGGAGCGACCAGG